rnacentral:piRNA from 1 species
UGCCAUUUCUUAGCUAAUAGCCUUUCUGA